AAUUGCAAGAAUCAAACGCACUUAAGAAAAUUUAUCGGUUUGGGCCGGACUAGAACGGUUUGUUUAUACAAUUCAAGAUGUCCAGAUUCCAGAAUUUUUGUAGAAGAGAGAGGGAGAGUGUUUCCCGCACGAAAAUUGCCGCGAUGUGGGGCACGAUUAAUGGUGCAAUGAGAACAUAAAUGUUCCUGAAUCCCUUAAUCUAAAAUACUCGAAAGACGAAAAUGGAAGACGAAGUUGAGAGGCGACAGAUCGAGCAGAUCUAGAGCUGGACGACGAGGAGUUACAGAUUGAAGAAGUCGAAAGUCUUCUUGAAUCGUCCGAUGAUGAUCGUGAAGCUACGUAACGACCGUAACCAUAAUUUAUCGCGCCACUCGAUUCGUCGUUAACCAUUGCUUUUAGAAUUUAUCGCCGUUCUAUCACAGUGUUCAUAUAUAUACUUUUUCGGACUGGGGUUCUUGAAAUUUCAAUUUGUCAGCAUCACUUUGUCUUUGCUAAUUUUUAUUUCAUUCUUAAAACAUUCAGUCUUUUAGUAAGAAUUGUUGGAAGCUAUUUAUUUUAAAUUAAAGCACUUCGAGAUUUGUUUCAGGUGUUCUUUUGGUUUGUAACUUUAUUGUCCAUAUUGUAGUGGCGGUGCUUCAACUGAUGAUUUUACCUUCAAAUUUCAAUACCUAUUUGAGUUCCUUACAUUCAUAUCUCGGCGGUAAUCAUAUAAUCAGAACAUGAGUAGUAUAUUUUCAUCAGAUACUGGAUCGUCAUAUUAUUUACUUCCGUGAUCGUACCUGAGAAAUAAUUGACAAAGGAGCGCAUGUAGUUCGGUAGGACAAAUUAUGUAUGUGGUUGUUUAUAUUCAUUAUCUUGCAUUUCUCUCGUAAAUCAUUCUUGCGCCGUAUAACCACGAUUAAUUCUUUCUUGCAAUUGUUAUGCAUGGACAAUCCACAAACUGUGCAUACUCUGAAACCCUAAUGGGAUGCCUUUUUACUGCCACAGAUAAGAAGCUGAAGCCUAACUCGUUUUGGGGAAUAAGGAGUUUUCAAGUUGUGGAGGACAUGCUGUAGGAACCUUGUGUUCUCAACUCAAUGCUGUCCUAAAAUUUUCACAUGCAAAAUCAGAGAAUGGUUAUAUAACUUGGGAGCAAUAUCUUUUUUGGCAUCCAGCCGUUGAUAAAAUGAUAAGUUAAAAUUUGAUUUUGUCGUUUCUCACGUUCUAAGUAAACCCGUUCACUGUAAAUAAGCCGACUUGAAAUAUCGGUAGCUUGCCAUAUCCCCCCCCCCCUCCCAAAU
rnacentral:lncRNA from 1 species